ensembl:lncRNA
CUCUACUAUGAGACCAGACCAUAGACCAAGCAAGGUCCUAGGUUCAUAUGAUAUCCCUUCUGAUGUAUAAGACGGCUGCCUUGGCCAGUGGGCCUUCCCUUUUACAGGCUGCUCAUCUCAGAUCCUUCCACUGUUUUCCUUUGGCUGUGGUUGCUGUUGUUGUGUUGUGCGCAGAUGCUCAGUCGUGCCUGACUCUAUGUGACCCCAUGGACUACAGCCCACCAGGCUCCUCUGUCCAUGGAUUUCCCAGGCAUGAAUACUGGAGUGGGGUGUCAUUUCCUACUCCAGGAUACCUUCCUGACCCAGAGAUUGAAAGCUGGGUCUCUUGCGUCUCCUGCAUUGGCAGGUGGAUUCUUUACCACUAACCUGGGUUGCAGCACCUUCUGCUUGCUCCAGCUCGAUGGCCAACCUAAGCCAGAAGCAAAGGCCAGGUGUGAUGCACCAGCACACAGAAAAGGGGACUAUCCUUUUCCUCAACCCACAUUCUUUACUUCUAGGAAGCCUUGCAUCACUCUGUUAACUCAGACUGUAUGGGCAGCCGCAAGUCCCCCCAGCCUGUGCACAGACACUGUUGUGGAAAAAGAUACAGGUCCUUAUAUUCUUGCCAAAUUUCAUUUUACGGUAUUGGACCCCCUGCCCUUUUUUUAUUGCAGAGUCCUUUUGUUAGUUCAGUUCUGAAUAGCCGCAGUGAGAGUAGUACAGUCCAGACGCUCCAAGUACUGAGGCGGCACUGCUGACCCUGACCACAGCCCUCUGUGGUCUCCUGCCACGUGCAGAGACCUCCAAGGGAUUUUCCCCUUCGUGGCAGCUACCCAUGAGCCUCCCAGAGUAAAGGUCCUUGUGUUUCUGUGUACCUGGACAGCAGAGAUCACCAGCAGCACCAGAACAAGGGAGACUCAACACAGUGCAAUGAAAACACCAGUUUACAGAAAUAUCCAAAUCACCAGCUCCCACUCCUACACCACCAACUCAACUCAUCUGCACAAGGACAGUGUAUUCUUGUCCAGGACUGUGCUUCAGCACCCAGUACAGCGUCUGCCCAGAGAGGCUUUCAGUAAACAGAUUUCAACUGGAUGACUUGCACGAGCUGUUGGGGUAGGAGUAAAGAAACUGCGGUAUCUUAUUUCCGCAACUGCUAAAGUUCACAGCUGUCAGGCCCUUUAAGCUCCAAGGUCAGCCCUGGAAGGGCAGCUGGUAGGGGCCCACAGUCUUCACCCUGGCUUAUACUUAAUCUUUGGCCAUUCCCCCUAAGCCCAUCCCUGAUUGGAGCGCUUUCUAAAAUCUUCCACAGAAUCCAGGGUGCUUAAAACUGCCCACUGCUUUCUGCUGAAGCUAGCGUUCCUUGGCUAACACUGCCGUGAUGGGAUUGGAUUGAUGUCUAUGCCUAAUGUGAUAACAUGGGUAAAUUUGGCUCAGGAUUUCUUUUCAUCUUAACAUUUUUCAGUAGCUUCUUGGGAGUUCACCAUUUUACGACUUUGUAAAAGCCAGCUGACUUUCCUCUCUUACUAGUGGUGAAUAGGGGAAACUUUCUCAUUCACAUCACUCCAACCAGAGCUGUGGUUCAGUCACUCAGUCGUGUCCGACUCUUUGAGACCCCAUGGACUCAGGCAGCACAUCAGGCUUCCCUGUAAAUACUCCUUUUGAGUUGCAUAUUAAACUUAUAUUUGUGCCGAUCCAG